ensembl:lncRNA
UUUUUUUUGUUUUUUUGUUUUUUGUUUUUUGUUUUUUUUAGGGCCAAGGCAUAUGGAGGUUCCCAGGCUAGGGGUUGACUCAGAGCUGUAGCUGCUGGUCACAGCCACAGCAAUGCCAGAUCCGAGCUGCAUCUAUAACCUACACCACAGCUCACAGCAAAACCAAAUCCUUAACCUACUGAGCUAGGCCAGGGAUUGAGCCUGUGUCCUCAUGGAUGCUAGUCAGAUUCAUUUCUGCUGAGCCAUAACAGGAACUCUGAUACAUGAGAUUUCCACUGUCCUUAUCUAGUGUCCAGAGGAAUGGGCUUGGUGGAUCCAUCAUGGAAGCCCUGGUUGACUCUGUUGAGAGAAAUGCCAGGCAGAUUGUUAGAGGUGGGAGGUUGGGUUGGGUGAAGGCAGGACACUGAAUGAGCUCUCAGCUGUGUAUCUAGAGAGGACCAAAAAAACAAUAAGAGAUGGAGGACUGAAGAAUGAGGGAGUGAACAGACCAAUCUGAUGGAGAGAGGACGAAGAGGCGACAUUGGUGGAGGACUGACCAAGUGCCUGCAUUGCUGUAUUUGGCUAUUGUGACAUUGGCCAGGGACAUGUGUAUAAAAGUGGACUUGAAGGAGGUGAACGAAUCUCCAGUGAUAUGCAUAAGAAAGGGGGUGCAGAUUCUCAGGAGGAGAAGUGGGUGGGUAAGGGCGUUUGCCUACGGGAGAGGCAAGAAUGGGGUGGAAGACCAGGCAGGCUGAGAAUUCCAAAAGGAGGAGGGAUGAAUUUGAGCAGCCACUAUGAAAUGUGCAUGGGGGAAAGAGAGCAGUUACAGGAGGACUUGCGGCCAUUUUCAUGUGGAUCCAGUGCCCCCUUCUGCCUUCAACAUCUAGUAAAGACCUCUGACGCACCUCAGAGUUUCUGAAGUCAGAUCUGUACUUAUCCUGAAUGCUACAGCAGCUGCGACUGGCCUCAAGGCAGCCCUAUUUUGUUUGGGUCACAUAAAGCUUUGAUGGCGAGGAGCUUGGAGACCUUGUCUGUCUCCUUUUUUGUUUAGUAGGUGUUAGCACUUCCUGUGUUCUCGGUGUCAGUUAAGUGUUAUUGCAAGAAGCCUGUCAUCACGGCUUGCCUAUAGGAUGAGCAUAGGGGAACCAGAGAUCUCUAAAGGCAGCACUGAGCACGGGCCUCCAGCUUAGAUGCCUGCUCCUCACUUUCAUCCUUUCUUCUCCAUGUGACCACACGCCCUUUCUUAGGUAGCUUAUUCCGUCCUCUCACUGCCCACAUGUUUCCUUCCAUAUCCAUCACUCUAUUCACUCCACCAAUCCUAGCAAACCAUUUCCAUUGUUAACUUUGCUCUAGGAGAUGACUGCAGCCUGCAAACCGCCUACGGCACAGAGACUUCUGGAGUGCUGUCGGAAGUGUAGAAUGUUAGCAACACCCAAUACUGGGCUUCCCUUCUGUGAGAUUUGUCACACUGUCAUUACCUGUCCAACGCUGGCUUCCUUCCCACCAUGCAAGCUCCAGAGAGGCAUUCCCCACGCCCUCUUUGAUUAGAACUAUCUGCCUGUAUGUGGGUGCUUACUAAGUGUGUGUUGACUGAAUGACUUAUUGAUUGACAGCAUCUAUGUUCCCGGAGGAAGAGCCUCAGUUUAGAGAGGAAGGGGGAGCCUCCUCCCGCCUCCCAUCCUCUGCCAGGAUCAGGGAUAAAGAGCUGACGUGCUGCCUCUACAUUCUUUGCAAAUGGAAAAUCAUGGGUUUUCACUCUGCAAGUCUCUCUAGAGAGUCCUUUUACCAGCGAGGACCCAGUUUAAACAAGUUUAACCAAAUUCAUCAAAAAGGGAGGGAUGCCUGAGCCCAGGAAUCAGACCUAUGGGCCAUUGUCCUUGCCAUGGACAGUGUCC